GCAGUCGAGCGGACAGAUGGGAGCUUGCUCCCUGAUGUUAGCGGCGGACGGGUGAGUAACACGUGGGUAACCUGCCUGUAAGACUGGGAUAACUCCGGGAAACCGGGGCUAAUACCGGAUGCUUGUUUGAACCGCAUGGUUCAAACAUAAAAGGUGGCUUCGGCUACCACUUACAGAUGGACCCGCGGCGCAUUAGCUAGUUGGUGAGGUAACGGCUCACCAAGGCAACGAUGCGUAGCCGACCUGAGAGGGUGAUCGGCCACACUGGGACUGAGACACGGCCCAGACUCCUACGGGAGGCAGCAGUAGGGAAUCUUCCGCAAUGGACGAAAGUCUGACGGAGCAACGCCGCGUGAGUGAUGAAGGUUUUCGGAUCGUAAAGCUCUGUUGUUAGGGAAGAACAAGUACCGUUCGAAUAGGGCGGUACCUUGACGGUACCUAACCAGAAAGCCACGGCUAACUACGUGCCAGCAGCCGCGGUAAUACGUAGGUGGCAAGCGUUGUCCGGAAUUAUUGGGCGUAAAGGGCUCGCAGGCGGUUCCUUAAGUCUGAUGUGAAAGCCCCCGGCUCAACCGGGGAGGGUCAUUGGAAACUGGGGAACUUGAGUGCAGAAGAGGAGAGUGGAAUUCCACGUGUAGCGGUGAAAUGCGUAGAGAUGUGGAGGAACACCAGUGGCGAAGGCGACUCUCUGGUCUGUAACUGACGCUGAGGAGCGAAAGCGUGGGGAGCGAACAGGAUUAGAUACCCUGGUAGUCCACGCCGUAGACGAUGAGUGCUAAGUGUUAGGGGGUUUCCGCCCCUUAGUGCUGCAGCUAACGCAUUAAGCACUCCGCCUGGGGAGUACGGUCGCAAGACUGAAACUCAAAGGAAUUGACGGGGGCCCGCACAAGCGGUGGAGCAUGUGGUUUAAUUCGAAGCAACGCGAAGAACCUUACCAGGUCUUGACAUCCUCUGACAAUCCUAGAGAUAGGACGUCCCCUUCGGGGGCAGAGUGACAGGUGGUGCAUGGUUGUCGUCAGCUCGUGUCGUGAGAUGUUGGGUUAAGUCCCGCAACGAGCGCAACCCUUGAUCUUAGUUGCCAGCAUUCAGUUGGGCACUCUAAGGUGACUGCCGGUGACAAACCGGAGGAAGGUGGGGAUGACGUCAAAUCAUCAUGCCCCUUAUGACCUGGGCUACACACGUGCUACAAUGGACAGAACAAAGGGCAGCAAAACCGCGAGGUUAAGCCAAUCCCACAAAUCUGUUCUCAGUUCGGAUCGCAGUCUGCAACUCGACUGCGUGAAAGCUGGAAUCGCUAGUAAUCGC
rnacentral:rRNA from 1 species